rnacentral:ncRNA from 1 species
AUGGAAGCGUCAAAAGGCGGCGCUAGUUAAAGGGUUGGUUCGUGGCAGCCAAGCGCGGCACUUGAAGUGCCCAUACCGAUGUUGACAUUCGAUGCUGGCUCUUCCUAAUAGGAAGCUGCUAUCAUUGAGACGCAGAAGUCUUAAAGUAUCGGAUUAUUCACCCACCAGUAGAGAACGUGCACUGGGUUUAGACCGUCAUGAGACAGUUUAGUUUUACCCCACUGACAGAGUAGACACUGCGACAGUAGUCAAACUCCGAGUUGGUACGAGAGGGACAAUUCGUCCAGAUACUUGGUUGAUGCCGUUGUCUGAAAACACAGUAGGGCAGAAUUACCAUCUACUGGAUCACGGCGGAACGUCUGUAAGCCUCAACCCAUGCUGGAUAAGCAGUGUUGUACACCGUGCUCAAUGCUGAGAGAAAAAUGCUGGCUUCGGCCUGACCGAAAUUCAAGCUGCUAUAACUCUAGCUGCAUUGACUAUGGUCAGAGUGUAUGGUGACCAAACAGUUGCAAGUAUUCGGCUCGAUAAAUCCUUCGAAGAUGACUCAACUGCAAGGGUAUCGUAAGUACUGGCUUAGUCUUACAAUCCACUGAGAUUCAUCUCGUAUGCGCCGAUUU